UAAUUUUCUCUAGAGUGACCAUGUCAUCAGAAGAUAAGGUUCAGCCACCAACUUUUGAAGGCCCCAUGAGAAACAAUUUCGAAGAACCAGGAGUUCCAGCCCUGGGAGGUCAUAACUGAAUGGUGUAUCUCCCAAGGCAUACCUCAAUAAGCCAUCUGCUUGCUCCUCUCCAUCUGAGUCUGUUUCCAGAAAAACUAGUCGAAGGUACAUCCCUGGAGCUGAAGGGCUGAAGAAGAUGGCGCCUGGAGUAGGGGCUGCAUGCAGGAACUAGAGGUGUGGGAAAUGCAGCUACCACCAGAAAUAUGGGGCCAAAGCAGAGAAAGAGGAGAUACCCAAACUUCUAUUACGUCCGACUCUCGAACACCCUUCCAUUGUCUCUCAAUGGACAAACUAAUUGGAAACCAGCCAGCAGGGGAAUCUGGAUAAUGAGUGAGUCCCCAUAGCAUAGAGGAGAGGGCAGGCAUGGAAUGCCAAGGCAGCCAAGCCCAAAUCCAAAUCCAAGCUGUAUGAGCUCUGCAUGCUUCCAUUUUCUCACCAGUAAAGUGGGGAUAACAGUACUGACUACAUCACAACGCUGCUGGGAAAAUAGGAAAUAAUGCAUGCCUAGCACUUUCCGGAGGAUCUGGUACACAGGUGUGCUGAAUAAAUAUCACUUGUUACAGUCA